GUUAUCCAUAUUUUGAAGACACAAAGAGAUGAAUCAGUUUCUAUCCUCAAGCUUCAUGGACUAACCGUGCCUUCCCAAAUAUCAGUCGAAGAUGUUGGCACACCAGCAGGGAAUAUGAAUAAUGAAGAACUUCAAAUUCAGAACGAAAAUUUGCGUCAUGUUAUUCAUCAAAUGAGAGAGGACAUGGAGGAUUUGACGAAACAGUUGACGCAACGUACCACUGGAUCGAUUACUAAUGCAGGAGAUGGCGUACCCAUUACGGAAGAAUAUGUGACAAGUCUG